CCUACGGGUGGCAGCAGUGAGGAAUAUUGGUCAAUGGCCGAGAGGCUGAACCAGCAAAGCCGCGUGAGGGAAGACGGCCCUACGGGUUGUAAACCUCUUUUGUCGGGGAGCAAAGAGAGUCACGUGUGAAUCAUUGAGCGUACCCGAAGAAAAAGCAUCGGCUAACUCCGGGCCAGCAGCCGCGGUAAUACGGGGGAUGCGUGCGUUAUCCGGAUUUAUUGGGUUUAAGGGGUGCGCAGGCGGAGGUGCAAGUCACCGGUCAAAUUGCGGGGCUCAACCCCGUCCUGCCUUUGAAACUGCAUCCCUUGAGUGCGCGAGAAGUAUGCGGAAUGCGUGGUGUAGCGGUGAAAUGCAUAGAUAUCACGCAGAACUCCGAUUGCGAAGGCAGCAUACCGGCGCGCAACUGACGCUCGUGCACGAAAGCGUGGGUAUCGAACAGGAUUAGAUACCCUAGUAGUC
rnacentral:rRNA from 1 species